UCCAGCCUCAGUGUGCUGAUUGAACCAACCAGUGGCAACACAGGCAUUGGGCUGGCCUUCAUGGCUGCUGCCAAGGGUUACAAACUUGUACUCACAAUGCCCGCCUCUAUGAGUAUGGAGAGGAGAAUCAUCUUGAAGGAUUUUGGUGCUGAGCUGAUCCUCACCGACGCACUCUUGGGAAUGAAAGGAGCUGUCCAAAAGGCCGAAGAGCUGGCAGCAAAGACACCCAACUCAUACAUCCUUCAGCAGUUCAAGAAUGCUGUCAACCCAAAGCUCGAGAGCUGGGAACUGAACCUGAACUAG
rnacentral:rRNA from 1 species